rnacentral:ncRNA from 2 species
UCUAUACUGACCCCGUCAGGUGAGUGCUUGCCCCGCGGUGAGCACGGAAGUCCGGUGAAAAUCCGGCGCAGCCCCCGCUACUGUAAGGCGGACGAAACCCGAACGAGCCACUGGGAAACCGGGAAGGCCGGGGAGUAGGACGAUGCCGAGCCAGGAGACCCGCCUGAACAUCACGAACGGG